AUUGAACGCUGGCGGCAUGCUUUACACGUGCAAGUCGAACGGUAACAGGGUGCUUGCACCGCUGACGAGUGGCGAACGGGUGAGUAAUGCAUCGGAACGUACCCAGUCGUGGGGGAUAACGUAGCGAAAGUUACGCUAAUACCGCAUACGUCCUGAGGGAGAAAGCGGGGGACCGUAAGGCCUCGCGCGAUUGGAGCGGCCGAUGUCGGAUUAGCUAGUUGGUAGGGUAAAGGCCUACCAAGGCGACGAUCCGUAGCGGGUCUGAGAGGAUGAUCCGCCACACUGGGACUGAGACACGGCCCAGACUCCUACGGGAGGCAGCAGUGGGGAAUUUUGGACAAUGGGCGAAAGCCUGAUCCAGCCAUGCCGCGUGAGUGAAGAAGGCCUCGGUUGUAAGACGUCUUCUAGCCGGAAGAAAGUACG
rnacentral:rRNA from 1 species